rnacentral:rRNA from 1 species
GACGAACGCUGGCGGCGUGCCUAAUACAUGCAAGUAGAACGCUGAAGGAGGAGCUUGCUUCUCUGGAUGAGUUGCGAACGGGUGAGUAACGCGUAGGUAACCUGCCUGGUAGCGGGGGAUAACUAUUGGAAACGAUAGCUAAUACCGCAUAAGAGUAGAUGUUGCAUGACAUUUGCUUAAAAGGUGCAAUUGCAUCACUACCAGAUGGACCUGCGUUGUAUUAGCUAGUUGGUGGGGUAACGGCUCACCAAGGCGACGAUACAUAGCCGACCUGAGAGGGUGAUCGGCCACACUGGGACUGAGACACGGCCCAGACUCUUACGGGAGGCAGCAGUAGGGAAUCUUCGGCAAUGGACGGAAGUCUGACCGAGCAACGCCGCGUGAGUGAAGAAGGUUUUCGGAUCGUAAAGCUCUGUUGUAAGAGAAGAACGAGUGUGAGAGUGGAAAGUUCACACUGUGACGGUAGCUUACCAGAAAGGGACGGCUAACUACGUG